UAGAUAGAAAGAUUAAACUGAAGAGUUUGAUCAUGGCUCAGAUUGAACGCUGGCGGCAGGCUUAACACAUGCAAGUCGAACGAUGACUAACUAGCUUGCUAGUUAUGAUUAGUGGCGGACGGGUGAGUAACAUUUAGGAAUCUGCCUAGUAGUGGGGGAUAGCUCGGGGAAACUCGAAUUAAUACCGCAUACGACCUACGGGUGAAAGGGGGCGCAAGCUCUUGCUAUUAGAUGAGCCUAAAUCAGAUUAGCUAGUUGGUGGGGUAAAGGCCUACCAAGGCGACGAUCUGUAACUGGUCUGAGAGGAUGAUCAGUCACACCGGAACUGAGACACGGUCCGGACUCCUACGGGAGGCAGCAGUGGGGAAUAUUGGACAAUGGGGGCAACCCUGAUCCAGCCAUGCCGCGUGUGUGAAGAAGGCCUUUUGGUUGUAAAGCACUUUAAGCAGGGAGGAGAGGCUAAUGGUUAAUACCCAUUAGAUUAGACGUUACCUGCAGAAUAAGCACCGGCUAACUCUGUGCCAGCAGCCGCGGUAAUACAGAGGGUGCGAGCGUUAAUCGGAAUUACUGGGCGUAAAGCGAGUGUAGGUGGCUCAUUAAGUCACAUGUGAAAUCCCCGGGCUUAACCUGGGAACUGCAUGUGAUACUGGUGGUGCUAGAAUAUGUGAGAGGGAAGUAGAAUUCCAGGUGUAGCGGUGAAAUGCGUAGAGAUCUGGAGGAAUACCGAUGGCGAAGGCAGCUUCCUGGCAUAAUAUUGACACUGAGAUUCGAAAGCGUGGGUAGCAAACAGGAUUAGAUACCCUGGUAGUCCACGCCGUAAACGAUGUCUACUAGCCGUUGGGGUCCUUGAGACUUUAGUGGCGCAGUUAACGCGAUAAGUAGACCGCCUGGGGAGUACGGCCGCAAGGUUAAAACUCAAAUGAAUUGACGGGGGCCCGCACAAGCGGUGGAGCAUGUGGUUUAAUUCGAUGCAACGCGAAGAACCUUACCUGGUCUUGACAUAGUGAGAAUCCUGCAGAGAUGCGGGAGUGCCUUCGGGAAUUCACAUACAGGUGCUGCAUGGCUGUCGUCAGCUCGUGUCGUGAGAUGUUGGGUUAAGUCCCGCAACGAGCGCAACCCUUUUCCUUAUUUGCCAGCGGGUUAAGCCGGGAACUUUAAGGAUACUGCCAGUGACAAACUGGAGGAAGGCGGGGACGACGUCAAGUCAUCAUGGCCCUUACGACCAGGGCUACACACGUGCUACAAUGGUAGGUACAGAGGGUUGCUACACAGCGAUGUGAUGCUAAUCUCAAAAAGCCUAUCGUAGUCCGGAUUGGAGUCUGCAACUCGACUCCAUGAAGUCGGAAUCGCUAGUAAUCGCAGAUCAGAAUGCUGCGGUGAAUACGUUCCCGGGCCUUGUACACACCGCCCGUCACACCAUGGGAGUCUAUUGCACCAGAAGUAGGUAGCCUAACGAAAGAGGGCGCUUACCACGGUGUGGUCGAUGACUGGGGUGAAGUCGUAACAAGGUAGCCGUAGGGGAACCUGCGGCUGGAUCACCUCCUUAA
rnacentral:rRNA from 1 species